GGCGGCGUAGCCAAGUGGUAAGGCGCGGGCCUGCAAAGCCCUGAUCACCGGUUCGAAUCCGGUCGCCGCCUCCA
rnacentral:tRNA from 3 species